rnacentral:lncRNA from 1 species
UGUGUGUGUGGUAUUUGCUGCUAUUGUUGUUAUAGUAAAGAAAAAAAUUGUUCAGUGGGAAACCUUAGGGUCAUCAUGAUGACCAUGUAAUAAAUAUUUUCAAAUAUGCAGAAAUGUUGGGCCAUCCACAUGAUGCAGAAGCUGAUUUUUGAAAAAGGAUCCCUUUGUAUUAUUUUCUGUAAGGGAGGCACCAUGUUUAAUUUUAGUGAAUGCAUGAAAUGCAUGCAAAAGGGCUUCAUAAACUGUAAAGCUCUCUGCAAAUGAAAAGCAUUAUUAUUAUUCCAGAUACAAUAUAAGUGCAGCUGACAUCAACCACCAUUUAUCCCAGUUGCAGGUGUAACAACCAACAAGGGUAUUGUCCUUUGUUCCUUUGCCACAGCUGUGAGAGAGCAUCUGAAUCCAAUACAUAAAUAACAGCUGUGAUUUUAAUUGAGACUUUUGAGUGGAUAAGCAAGGUGUACACUGAACGCAUAGCAACAGAUAGGUUUUCAUUUGGGCAGCCACAUUAUUAUUUCCUCAGACUUUGAAAAGGGAAAGUUUUAACAGCCCUCUUGGAAGUGACCCUUGUUUUUCCCCCCACCUGUUCGCAGUUACUGUCACAGAAUGCGUCAUCACUCUCCCACGCGCACAGUGGGAAAACAAGUUUGCCAUCCAGAGCAAAGGGAGUUUUUAUGCUGUGUCAGGGAUACAAGAGUCUGUGUAUGGUUCAUUGUCCAUUUCCCAAUUAGGCUCCCUCCCUAGGCGUUGGAGCUUCCUGCCCAGAGAGCCUGCCUGGACUCCUUAUCAUUUCAGCAGAAAUAAGUCACAUGAGAAGCCACUGCAAAUCAGAUUUUUGCCAGAAUGCUUGUGGUCUCUGCCUUGCCCUUUUUUUCCCCCAAGAUUUUGCAACUCUGUUCUUGUCUUAGGAGGGUGAGAAAUUAUCCCAUCAAUGUAAUCAACCCAGAUUGGUCAACCAAAGGGAAUUUGCUUGUUGAAUCACAUUUGCUGCUAGUAUGUUCUUGGACAAGGGUAUCUCCAUGACUCUGUCCCUUGACUGGGGUGUCUAACUAUUGGGUAUUCUCUUUCUUGUACUGUGCAUAGAUAUGUUUCAGACUUUGUAUUUGCCCCUUAAAGCUGCCCUUGUGAUAGAUUUAGCAGCUCUGUAGUAAUACACACUGAAAACUAAUCUAAACACUAUAUAGUUGUAGAGUGGAAAGAGUUUCAAAGCCCAGCAAAUCUGAAUUGGAAUCAAAAUUUAUCACUAUACCUGGGUGAUAGGCCUCAGCUGCCUUAUCUGUAAAAUGGGGAUAAAAAUACCUCCCUAGCUCUGAAGAUCAUUGUAAGGUCAAGAGAGGCAAUGCAUGUACACUUCCCAGAGAGGGUCUGGCCCAUAGUAAUUGCCUCAUAAUUAGUGAGUGAGAUGAUUGUUCCAUAAACUGUACAGCUGGGGAAGAUCCCCCAAUGCAGACACAUGGCUAGCCCAAGUUUAACAGCAACUUAAUGGCAGAUGUAGGAGAAAAGUUAAGAUCCAGAGCUUCUUUCUACUACAUCUAAGAAUUGUUUCCUCAGGUUUGGGGAGGAGACAGCAAAGCUAAACACUUCAAGCCAGAGAGCCCUCUACAGAAGGAUGUAAUGGAUAAUUAUUGGUAUACAGUGAGGUUCAUAACCAAAAACAAAAGUUCUCUCCAUGAGACCUGGAAUCUGUAAACUGUCUUCUGGCUAAGGAAUCUGAAACUUAGGAUAAACAACUUGCCUAAUUUCUUAUGAUGGAGAUGUAAUAGUGGUUGGAAUUUGGACCUAUUCCUUCUGAUUCUGGAGCUCACCAGUUAACCACUCUGCUAAACUGCCUCCCCAAGAGGUAAAAAAUAUCUAGUGCUUUCAAGUCCAAAUCACUUUCCAAUAGCAAUAGUUGAUAAUAUCAUGAGCUGCCCAUGCUUCCAGAUGGGGGUAGAUGCUAGUUUGGAGGGAAAGGCUGUGCCAUGGGACAGAAGACUCAAUGAGGAGGGUGAGUAUUACCACAAGCUGGGACCCAUUUGUAAUGGUAUUUAUAGAAGUCUAGGAGCACAGUAUUCAAUUAGCAAAAGCAAACUCCCUAGGUAUUAUAACCCCCUUUUUUUCCUCCCCACUUAUCUUUAUGAGAUUUUGCCUGAGAGAUAGAAUCUAAAAGGAUAAAAAUAGGCUCUUUAAACUUCAGGGAGGAAGCAGUGAUGUUUUCAAUAGACUAUGUUUCCAUCUCCACCCACUCCAAACAAGUUAAGUAUUGUAUGACAUGAAGUCUAGGAAAAGCCUGGCACUCUAUAAAAAAUACUGGGAAAAUUCUGUCCAGCAUGGAAUAUCAGCAGCUUAUUGUACAGCAUAAAGUACUAACUCAGCAUUGACCUGCUCCCAAAAAGGGCAAAAUGAGAAGAAAAGAGCAGUGGAUGAUUGGAAAGAGGGCUCAGAUAUCAGCCCUUUACCUGUUGAAAGGGAUGUGCUAUAGCAAUUUUGCUGGCUUGGCCUGGGGACAUGUGAAAUGGUGGAGGAUGAUUUAGAUGUCUCAGUAUCAACUUUGAUAUCUCUUUACUUCAGGGAAUCACAAGUUCAAAUUCCAGGAGAGUUGGAUCAGCCUUUCCUCUCUGGCAGCCAGGCAAAGCGAGGGUCAUGCGAUCUACUCAGCACUUUGGGAUGUGACUUCAAAACCAAAGAACAAGGUGCACAUUUUGAGAAACGUGUACUCCUUGUUUAUGUGGCUGCUUCUUUAACAGAGUGAGGGAUAUGUACUUACUGGACACAGUUUUGGUUAGCCCAGCAUCACGUUUUUUUCUGGAAACCUCACCCCACUUUUUAUGUGGUUGUAGGAAUUCCCCCACCCCCUGCCAGUACAACGGCUCUUCUUUGGCUCUAGUGGAUUGGAACAGGGCAGGCCCCUCCCAAGAGCCAGUGACCAAGUAUGGUGGGGACAUUGAGGCAGACCUAUUUCUGAGAAACACAGAAAUUUGUUGGGCAACUGUAUUGCCCAACUUUGGCUCAAAAACUCCAUGAUGACUUUGCUGAACUUUCCUUAGACCAUAGACCCACCAAAAAUGUUUCCAACCAAUCUACUCUCUCUCUCUCCUUCCCUUGGGGUUAGGCUUGCCUUGCAAUCUGAUGGCUUUGCCUAUCCUCCCCUAUUUCUGUUCACACAUUAAUUCCCCCUAAUAAAACCCCUGCUCAUUUAACACCUUCUCAUCUUCUGUUUCUUGGAGGACCUCAUCUUAUGCAUCUGGUUUAAAUCCUAGCUCUCCCACACAGUAGUCGUGUGACCUUUGAUAAUCACUACAUUGUGCUGUCCUCAAUUUCCUCUUCUGUAAAAUGAAAGUGUGGGGUAAGAGCACCUACAUCACAGUGGUGUUAUAAUUGGAUGUAAUAACCCUCAGUCAUUUACCUGGCAUGCGGUAUAGUUGUAUGCAGGAGAGUCUACUGUUUAGAAAAACCUUGAACCUAAUUGUUAGCACCAUCAGUCUGUUCUGGCUUGUGUGCUGUAAGAGCCCUCUCUGGGUCUACAUUUGCUCAAGCAUUGAUGUUCUGUAGAGUAAAUUCUGCAUGUUUGUCUCUCCACUAAAACAUAAGUUCCUUGAGAGCAGGUAGCAUAUUUCCUUCACUUCUAUAUCCUCUCCAGAUCCAAGCAAAGUGUUUGAGCAAAGUGGCAAACCAGGAAAUGCUCAUUUAAUGGAUGCGAAUUUCCUGCAGGAAUGAUGGAAUGGAGUUCAGGUCAACAGCAAAUAUUGCAUGGCUGCUUACUUUCUUCCUGUGGUAUUCUCUACAAGGACAAAUAGCACAGAACCCCCUGCCAUCUCAUACAAGUGACAGAUUGUAUAUGCGUUGGCAAGCUUGGGCUUGAAGUUUUUGGUGACACAAGACUGGCUUCUACUUCAGGAGACCAACUUCUUUUUCACAUAGCUCCAAUUUUCAGAGGUAAGUAAAAUAAUGUUAACUAAAACUUGAAUAAUGCUUACUAAGUGCUAGAUACCAUUUUAAGUGCUGUAAUAUGUGUCUCUGAAUAUACACCUCCCACUCCUUGCACAGACACACACAUGCACACACUACACUCACACACAUACACACACACAAUCUCAAUAAACCCUCACAACAACUGAAUAAGGUAGAUUCAGUUGUUGCCCCUAUUUAACAGAUGAGGAAACUGAGGCACACAUAAGUUACAUGAUCUGCCCAAAGCCACAAUGCAAGUAAGAGCCAAGAUUUGAACCCAGGUAGUCUGAAUCUACAUUUUGUACUCUUAAUGACUGUAUUUUACUAUUUAUUUAUUAUUUAAUUUUUUUUUGAGACAGAGUCUCACUCUGUCACCCAAG